rnacentral:rRNA from 1 species
GACGAACGCUGGCGGCGUGCUUAACACAUGCAAGUCGAACGGAAAGGCCCUGCUUUUGUGGGGUGCUCGAGUGGCGAACGGGUGAGUAACACGUGAGUAACCUGCCCUUGACUUUGGGAUAACUUCAGGAAACUGGGGCUAAUACCGGAUAGGAGCUCCUGCUGCAUGGUGGGGGUUGGAAAGUUUCGGCGGUUGGGGAUGGACUCGCGGCUUAUCAGCUUGUUGGUGGGGUAGUGGCUUACCAAGGCUUUGACGGGUAGCCGGCCUGAGAGGGUGACCGGCCACAUUGGGACUAAGAGAGGGCGCAGACUCCAACGGUAGGCAGCGGGGGGGAGUAUGGCGCAGUGGGGGGGAGCCUGAUGCGGAAGCGCCGCGUGCGUGAAGACGGCCUUCGGGGGGUAAACCGCUUUCGCCUGUGACGAAGCGUGAGUGACGGUAAUGGGUAAAGAAGCACCGGCUAACUACGUG